UACGUAGGGGCCAAGCGUUUGUCCGGAUUUAUUGGGCGUAAAGAGCUCGUAGGCGGUUGGGUAAGUCGGGUGUGAAAACUCCAGGCUCAACUUGGAGAUGCCACCCGAUACUGCUCUGACUUAAGUUCGGUAGGGGAGUGGGGAAUUCCUGGUGUAGCGGUGAAAUGCGCAGAUAUCAGGAGGAACACCGGUGGCGAAGGCGCCACUCUGGGCCGAAACUGACGCUGAGGAGCGAAAGCGUGGGUAGCAAACAGG
rnacentral:rRNA from 1 species